UACGUAGGGUGCAAGCGUUAAUCGGAAUUACUGGGCGUAAAGCGUGCGCAGGCGGUUUUGUAAGUCUGAUGUGAAAUCCCCGGGCUCAACCUGGGAAUUGCAUUGGAGACUGCAAGGCUAGAAUCUGGCAGAGGGGGGUAGAAUUCCACGUGUAGCAGUGAAAUGCGUAGAGAUGUGGAGGAACACCGAUGGCGAAGGCAGCCCCCUGGGUCAAGAUUGACGCUCAUGCACGAGAGCGUGGGGAGCAAACAGG
rnacentral:rRNA from 1 species